UUAACAACGGCAACAUAAAAAUGGUGACCAGCGCCAGCAACAGCAUUUGGUCUCGACAGUGUGGCAGGGCCGGCCCUCGCCCAAGGCCGACCAAGGCGGUCGCCUUGGGCCUCAAAUUUUAGAGGGCCUUAAGGGAUGGAAAAAUAAAAAAUAAGUUAGGGCAAGUUUCAGACGACACAAUCUGCUUCGACACUCCGCAGGGCGCAGCCUCCGCUAUCGCCUCAGGUGACAAGUUCACCUAGGGCCUCUCAAAAUAUUUGGAAUCUCAGGGCCGGCCCUGCCGUGUGGUUAUGCGCGGAGACAAAGAAGGACGAAGAUACUACUACUUGCUGCCUCAGUUGCUCAAACAUCCAAACUUUGACAACCGCCGAGCUGUUCAACAAGUCCACUCUCAACUCAUCACCAAUGCUUCACACUCUGCUGAAAUGCCGAUGACAAUCUGGAACAAUAUACUUCGACACUACUCACUCAGUUCCUUCCCCGAAGAAGCUAUCUUUCUCUACAAACACCUUCAAUUCCACCAACCACACUGGCCCAUUUUGUUCGAUAGCUUCACCUACUCUUUCCUUGUCAAAGCCUGCGCUAAUUUGCAGCGAACUAUAAUGGGUGUGCAAUUUCAUGGUCUUACUCUCAAAGCUGGAUUCGAGUUUCAUGUUUACGUGCAAACUGCUCUGGUCAAUAUGUAUGUGGUUUGUGGGUCUGUUUUUGAAGCGAAGAAGGUGUUCGAUGAAAUGCCUGAGAGAAACUCCGUCACCUGGAAUGCUUUGAUCACUGGUCUAAUGAAAUGUGAGGAGUUGGAGCUCUCUCGUUCUCUCUUUGAAGUGAUGCCGACUAAGAAUGUCGUUUCGUGGACUGGCCUCAUUGAUGGGUAUGCGAGGAUGAAUCGGCCGAAGGAAGCUAUGUUGUUGUUUCGGAGAAUGGUUGUGGAUGAAGGCAUUAAACCAACUGAAAUAACGAUUUUGGCGAUUCUCCCAGCACUUUGGAAUCUCAGGGCUCUUGAGCUUUGCCAGUCCGUCCAUGCUUACGGAGAGAGAAGUGGGUUCAAUGCAUCUGAUAUUCGCAUAAUGAAUUGCCUUAUAGAUGCUUAUGCAAAAUGUGGUUGUGUAGAGAGUGCAUUAAGACUUUUCGAGGAUGUGUCUGCAGAGAGGAGGAAUUUGGUGUCAUGGACCUCAAUAAUAUCUGGGCUUGCAAUGCACGGGAUGGCGAAAGAAGCUGUGGAUAAUUUUAGAAGAAUGGAGAAUGCUCGUGUGAUGCCGAAUAGUGUGACGUUUUUGAGUGUUCUAAAUGCCUGCAGCCAUGGAGGGUUGGUCGAAGAGGGGCUCUCGAUUUUCAGGAAGAUGGUUAAUGAGUGUCAACUUAUACCAAACAUUAAGCACUAUGGGUGCUUAAUAGACAUGUUGGGAAGGGCCGGGAGGUUUGAGGAAGCAGAAAAGAUGGCUUUGGAGAUUCCUCCUGAGAUGGCCAAUGUUGUGAUUUGGAGGACGCUUCUGGGUGCUUGUAGUUUCCAUGGUAAUGUUGAGAUGGGAGAAAGAGUUACAAGGAAGAUACUAGAGAUGGAAAGGGGAUAUGGUGGUGACUAUGUGCUUUUGUCCAACAUAUUUGCCGGUGUUGGUAGGUUUGCAGAUUCAGAAAGGACAAGGGGAGUGAUGGAUGAGAGAAAUGCCCCCAAAGUUCCUGGCCUUAGUUUGGUCUGAUUAAUAGAGAAGUGGAAAUUAAAAUGCAUGAAAAGAGGAUCGUUCAAGAAGGGCUAGUUCAUCAUAUAUGACCAAGAAGAAGUUGAAGUCAACCACUGGUUCAGGUAUGCUAAUAUACUAUGGAAGGAUGAGUGUACCAAGAAGAGAUCAUAUUAACACUGGGUAUGAGUGUCAAUAUAUAUGUAGAAGCACAACACUGCCCUUCUCAAGCAUGCACAUUUUCAGUUAGUGAGCAGGCAUCAUUGCACAUCUCGGUAAGUAAUGGUUUUGUGAUAUCUAUAUAUAUUAUCAGAUUUGCUCCAGCAAGUGUGAUUGGCUUUUUUCUUGCGGCUUAAAGUUUCAGUGUGGUUCAUGCUUGCACACUGAAUAAAAGAUAUAAGCCUUGUCAUACUCUAAAGACACUUGACCGGAGCAAGGUUUGGCACUGGUGUCCAAUUUACUGAACAGAAACUACCGGUUUUCCUUUCUUUUGGUUGCCUACUCCAUGCAACAACCAGCUCAGUUCUAUUUGGUAAGACAAGAAAUUCAUGGGCUUGGCAAAGUAUAUGUUCAUCUUGUGGAGUUCUGAAACACACAUUGAAGUGGCGGAUGGCUAAAGGUGAUCAAGUCGAUAUUUGGUUGUAUCCGUUCAUUCUUGCAGAUGUCAUCCUUCAUAGUAUCAGUUCAUGCAAGGAAUUUUCUUCUUUCAUGGCAUAUUUGGACGCAAGGCAUCUUCUCGUUGCAGACUUACAUGGUUCCAUGGUUGCAAAAUUUGAUUGCAUAUGUGGAUGCAAGCCAUCUCAUUUUAUGGCUUUACGUUCAGUCCAUAUUAUGUCCGGGUCUUGUAUAUCUUCAGAUUUAUAUAUGAUCAGCCUUGCAAGUGCUCAAAAAUUCAAUCGUAGUUAUCCGAAGUCCCUACUAGUACAUGUGCACGAAUUUAUCUUCUUCCUUACCUUCCGAAAAAAAAAAUUCUUCUUCCUUCUUGUUCAGGGGAGGGAUGCCUCUUUCCUUAAAGCCUUGUACAUGUUCAAUACUUAAAUAUAAAUUAUUAUUCCUUUUAAAUUA